GUUGCAUAUGAAGGUGGUGCUGUCCACACCUGUCAUGAAGCCAAAGCUUGACUCAGCAGCGUACAAGUGACGACUCCUUGGUCGAGGGUUUGCUGCACAUCGACACGGACACCAAGCCCCGGCCACAAUGCCAGAGUCAAGAAGGAGAGCGGGAGCUUGGCAGCCGACAUCUUGCACCUGCUGCAGGCCAGCGAGGAGAUCGGUGCCCUGGAAUACAACCCCAGCAGCCAGCCCCCAGCCUGCCCCAGCAUGCAGGAAGCCAUUCAGGGAAUGCUGUCCAUGGCCAACCUGCAGGCCUCCGACUCCUACCUGCAGACCAC
rnacentral:lncRNA from 1 species